rnacentral:rRNA from 1 species
GACGAACGCUGGCGGCGUGCCUAAUACAUGCCAGUAGAACGCUGAAGGAGGAGCUUGCUUCUCUGGAUGAGUUGCGAACGGGUGAGUAACGCGUAGGUAACCUGCCUGGUAGCGGGGGAUAACUAUUGGAAACGAUAGCUAAUACCGCAUAAUAUUUACUAUUGCAUGAUAGUCAGUUGAAAGGUGCAACUGCACCACUACCAGAUGGACCUGCGUUGUAUUAGCUAGUUGGUGGGGUAACGGCUCACCAAGGCGACGAUACAUAGCCGACCUGAGAGGGUGAUCGGCCACACUGGGACUGAGACACGGCCCAGACUCCUACGGGAGGCAGCAGUAGGGAAUCUUCGGCAAUGGACGGAAGGCUGACCGAGCAACGCCGCGUGAGUGAAGAAGGGUUUCGGAUCGUAAAGCUCUGUUGUAAGAGAAGAACGAGUGUGAGAGUGGAAAGCUCACACUGUGACGGUAUCUUACCAGAAAGGGACGGCUAACUACGUG